GGGCACGAUCAACCUGACCACGAAGGUCUUUGUUCCUGCAAGCAAUCGAAGAACAAACAAGAACAAGAUGAAAAGCAAUCUGAAAUUGAGAAUAGGAGAUAUGAAGGUUCACGAAUCUGAAUAUUCAAUAUAGUUGGAGUCUUGAUGACGGUAAAACAGGUGGUCUAACCGACACACGCGGUUACACGAAAGUAGCAAAGGCUAAACUUUAUCUAAUCAAAACCCAAGGCUCCAUAGGGGGGCUCAUGGGGUAUAAAUAGGAGGGGAACUAGGUGGUUUUCGGCCAGGCCCUUGAGGGACUCCGAAACGGCCUAGGAAUACUCCUAAAACACAACGAAAACAUCUAAAAAUUGGCUGGACCCUAUUACAUGGCCUAAGGCCCAAUAAAGCAAGGUUAUAACCCUUAUCUUUGGCCCAUAGAUACCCAUUGGAGGGGAAUCCUUCACUGGGCCGAAAUCCCAUUGAUGAAGAGGAUGCGGCCUUCUUCUCAUCUCUUUAUGGCGGUUUCAAUGUUCUGAAAUCAUCACUUGAGCUAGCUCUCGCCACCUUGCUGCCACCUCCAUGGUUUGCUGUCCAACGCUGAUCCUUGAGGUCCAAGUUAGGUCCUUCAUUCCUAAAACACAUAAAAGAACCCAUCUUAGGCAGCAGCAUAUUCUCAUUAAUAUUAAAUGAAGUACCAAGGAACGAAAGUACCUGAUAAUUUAGUUGUCGUGCACGAGCUCUAGUAAUUGGUCCAUGUAUCUCCGGUACUUGAGGUGUAGGUGCUGUAGGGGCUGUGGUUGUAUCAUUAGUUGGGAUGUCCUCAUCAUCCUCCCCUUCUUGAAUCGAAGUCGUCAUCGACGAUAGUUCAUCUUCUUCUCCCAAAUAAGGCUUCAAAUCUGCAAUAUUAAACGUGGGACUAACCCCAAAAUCUGCAGGUAGCUCAAGUUUAUAUGCAUUAUCAUUAAUUUUCGCUAACACCUUAAAGGGACCAUCAGCUCGUGGCAUUAACUUAGACUUGCGCAGAUCAGGAAACGAUCUUUGCGCAAAUGCAACCAAACAAGAUCUUCAGGUUCAAACACAAUUUGUUUUCUGCCCCUAUCUCCCGCAAGUUUAUACUUAGAAUUCAUGCGCUCAAUGUUCUCUUUAGUCGUCUCAUGCAUUUUUAUUAUAAGUUCAGCACGUUCCUUAGCAUCAAAGUUAACUUUUUCAGAAGUUGGCAAAGGUAACAAAUCAAUUGGUGCACGAGGUAUAAAACCAUAAACAAUUUCAAAAGGGCACAAUUUUGUGGUUGAAUGCAGUGAACGAUUAUAAGCAAAUUCAAUAUGAGGUAAACAUUCUUCCCACAUUUUCAAGAUCUAUUAACAACUUCCGUUUGUCCAUCUGUUUGGGGAUGUCAUGUAGUACUGAAAAGCAAUUUAGUCCCCAAUUUAGCCCAUAAACAUCUCCAAAAGUGGCUAAGAAAUUUUGUGUCACGAUCUGAAACUAUAAUAUUGGGCACACCAUGCAAGCGAACAAUUUCACGAAAGAAUAAAUCAGCAACAUUUGUAGCAUCAUCGCUCUUAUGACAAGGUAUAAAAUGUGCCAUCUUAGAAAAUCUAUCAACAACAACAAAUAUGCUAUCCCUCCCCUUCUUAGUUCGAGGCAAUCCCAAAACAAAAUCCAUUGAUAUAUCUUCCCAAGGAACAUUAGGAAUAGGGAGAGGCAUAUAUAAAUCAUGAGGAUUGAGUCGUGACUUAGCUUUUUGACAUGUAGUGCAGCGAGCGAUAAAUCUCUCAACAUCCCGUCUCAUCCGAGGCCAAAAGAAAUGAUCAGCGAGCACAUCUUCGGUCUUCUUCACGCCGAAGUGACCCAUCAACCCUCCUCCAUGUGCCUCCUGUAACAGCAAAAGACGAACGGAGCUAUCUGGGAUGCAUAGCUUGUUAGCACGGAACACAAAUCCAUCAUUAAUGACGAACUUGUUCCAUGUUCUGCCCUCUUUACAAUGCUGCAAAACAUCCUUAAAAUCUGCAUCAUGUUCAUAUUGUUCUUUUAUAGUUUCCAAUCCAAAUAUCCGAAAAUCAAGCUAAGAUAACAAGGUAUAACGACGUGAUAACGCAUCAGCAAUAACAUUAUUUUACCCUUCUUAUGUUUAAUAACAUACGGAAAAGACUCAAUAAAUUCAACCCAUUUAGCAUGACGACGGUUCAGCUUUGCUUGACUACGAAUAUGCUUCAAAGAUUCAUGAUCAGAAUGUAUAACAAAUUCUUUGGGCCAUAAAUAAUGUUGCCAUGUUUCUAAAGUCCGAACGAGAGCAUAUAAUUCCUUAUCAUAAGUAGAAUAAUUCAGACUAGGCCCACUCAAUUUUUCACUAAAGUAUGCAACAGGUUUUCCAUCUUGUAACAACACACCUCCUAAACCGAUUCCACUAGCAUCACACUCCAACUCAAAAGUCUUAUUAAAAUCAGGAAGUUGGAGUAAAGGAGCAUGUGUCAACUUAUCUUUCAAUAUGAGAAAAGCUUCUUCUUGUGCAGCGCCCCAUACAUAUGGAACGUCCUUCUUUGUGAGCUCAUUAAGCGGUGCAGCAAGGGUGCUGAAAUCUUUUACAAAGCGGUGAUAAAACGCAGCGAGUCCAAGAAAGCUCCUCACUUGGGUGACCGUUGUUGGAGUUGGCUAGCUUUGAAUAGCGUCAAUCUUGGCCUUAUCAACUUCUAUGCCCUGUGGAGUGACAACAUAGCCAAGAAACGAAACUCGAUCGGUGCAAAAGGUGCACUUCUCAAGGUUACCAAACAAACAUGCAUCUCUCAAAGCAUCAAAAACAGCACGUAAAUGAUUCAAGUGGUCUUCUAAAGAGCUGCUGUAAAUCAAUAUAUCAUCAAAAUAAACCACCACAAAUCGUCUUAUGAAAGCACGUAAAACUUCGUUCAUUAACCGCAUGAAAGUGCUAGGUGCGUUAGUAAGACCGAAAGGCAUGACUAACCACUCAUAUAGUCCAAACUUAGUUUUAAAUGUUGUUUUCCAUUCAUCGCCUAAUUUCAUUCGAAUUUGGUGGUAACCACUACGUAAAUCAACUUUAGAGAACACGGUAGAGCCACUUAAUUCAUCUAACAUAUCAUCAAGUCUAGGAAUUGGGUGACGAUAGCGAAUAGUAAUGUUAUCAAUAGCUCUACAAUCUACACACAUACGCCAAGAACCAUCUUUCUUUGGUACCAAAAUAACAGGAACCGCACAAGGACUAAGGGAUUCACGAAUAUAACCUUUGUCGAGCAAUUCUUGAACUUGUCGUUGAAUCUCCUUCGUCUCCUCUGGAUUGGUACGGUAGGGCGCACGGUCGGGCAGCGAAGCACUAGGAAUUAAAUCAAUUUGAUGUUCAAUCCCUCGAAUAGGUGGUAAUCCUGGUGGUACGUCUUGUGGAAAGACGUCGGAAUACUCCUGCAAAACGUGAGUAACAGCAGGGGGCAAAGAGGGAGGCAUAUCCUCUAAUGAAAACAAAGCCUCUUUGCAAAUGAAUGCAUAGCAAACAGAAUUAUUCGUAUCUAACUCAGAAAUAUCAGAUUUACUUGCAAGCAAGCAUGCACCUUUCAAUUUAAUUUCAUUAACAUGUUUCGAUUCAGAUUUGCUAGUAGACGCUUGGUGCUUAAAUUCUUUAGCGACAUUCUGGUUCUCACUCUUAUCCUUCUCUUUGCUCUUUGCUCUACUAGCUCUAGCAAGAUCGUCUUUCACAAUUUGUUUAGGAGUCAUAGGUUUCAAACACAUUUUCUUACCAGCAUGCAUAAAAGAAUAAUGAUUAGUUCUACCAUGAUGAACAGAAUCUGUAUCAUAUUGCCAUGGACGACCGAGUAACAUAGAACAUGCUUGCAUAGGUACCACAUCACAAUACACAAAAUCAGAAUAUGUACCAAUAGUAAAGUGUGCACGGACUGUUCUAGUUACCUUGAGCUUACCGUUCUUGUUAAACCAUUGAAUGUAGUAAGGGUGGGGGUGCGGCCUGGUGGUAAGAACAAGUUUUUCCACCAUCUCCGUGCUGGCCAAAUUAUUGCAACUUCCCCCAUCUAUGAUGAUACGAACAGCGCGCUCCUUGAUGACCCCUUUUGUUUGGAACAAGUUAUGCCGCUGAUUUUGUUCGGCGUGGCUCAUUUGGACGCUCAAGGUGCGUUGUGCAAUCAAACUCAAGUACUGAUCAACGGCUUCAGCUCCCAUUAACUCCUCGUCAUGGUGGGCAACGGGGUCUUCUUGCUCUUCCUCGGCAAUGAGAGCAUAGGUAGCUUCGUCAAAAUCACUGGCUGAAUCAUAUACUCCGUCUUCACGUAUGAUCAUAACGCGUUUGGUUGGACAGUCCCGCUGAAAAUGCCCGUAUCCUUUGCACCUACGACAUUGGUUAUCUCCGGUCCGUCCGGUGGAAGCAACGGACGCUGCUGAACUUUGUGCAGAGGCAGCGGGUGUAUUUCUUGUUGCUGCUGGUCCAACCUUUGCGGAUGUGGGUGUAGAGGUACUUUGCUUGUUGGUGGAAGUAGUCGGAACAGCCGGACGUGUAGGGGGUGCAGCUGGGCGUGUGGAAGGGGCAGCGGGGCUGCGUGCUGCCCAUGAGGAAGUACGACCUGCAGAUAAGUUAGUCCGCGCGUUCGCGUGUCGUCCCUGCACUUCCCUUUCAGCUUUGCAAGCAAUGUGAAACAAUCGAUUGAUAGAAUUAUACUCCUUAUAAUCAACAAUGUCAGCAAUUUCACGAUUUAAACCACCAAAGAAUCUAGCCAUAGCAGCUUCCUCAUUCUCAACUAAACCACAACAUAACAUGUUCUUUUGCAUUUCUUGAUAAUAAUCUUGGACAGAGUUACUGCCUUGCCUUAAUUGUUGUAGUUUCUUUAACAAGUCACGCGAAUAGUAUGAAGGAACAUACCUAGCGCGCAUAAUUCCUUUCAAAUCAUCCCAUGUUGGUGGUAUAGCGUUAGGAUGUGCAAUACAAUACUCAUGCCACCAAACAGAAGCAAAAUCAGUAAACUCACUAGUAGCAGCCCUAACCCUCUUAUUAGCAGGAAAAUGAUGGCAAGUAAAUUUUUGACUCAAUUCUAAUUCCCAUGUAAGGUAAGCAUCAGGGUCAUAUUUUCCAUCAAAAGGAGGAACCUUAAGUUUAAUAGAAUGCAGCGAGUCAUGUUCCUCUCUUUGAGGUCGUGUCGGUCCCAUACCUCGGCGGUUGAAACGAGUUCGGUGACGAUCACGGUCGUUGUGAUGGUUUACGGCCCCGUUGUGUUCCGUAUCCGCGGAGUAGUCGUCGUCGUUCUCCUCAACCUCGCUUGCGAAGGUACCGUUAUUAACGGUCCGCUGGUUGUGUGUAUUUUUUCCUCCCGGUGUAGCGAUGGUCGUUGCAGCAAGUGCCGCCAGUUGCGUCAUGAUUUCUGCCAGAGAAGUACUAAUGGUAGCAACAGAAUUCUGUAAAGAUGUUAGCUUGGUAUUUGUUUCAAUGUGCGCACUCUCCAAGGUUCCAAGUCUCUCAUUCGCAACCCGAACGUCCUCAUCCAGCUCCUCGUUACGGAGCCUAAGCUUGCGAUCAAAAUGUGAAAUAAUGCCCUUUGUGCGUGGAGAGUGGUCUUGUAAAUCAUCGUCAGAACCUGCCAUCGUUAGGAGAAAACAAGAAAAAAAUCACAAGGAAAAGUCCCUAUGCACUACUAGGAUGUGGGGUUCCAAAGAUCACUCCACUCAACUUUUAAUCAAGUUCUUACUCGUUCUUACCCAGCAAAUAGGAAGGUGAUGGCCAGCGGCGAGAACAAGCCCUCCGAAGAUUAAUGUAUCGAUGCCUCGAGGCAAACCAACCUAGGUGUAAAAUCUGUGGAGCUUGGAGGCUUAUGUGAGUAGCAAGGAAAAGCGAAUAAUCAAAUCAGCAAUGCAAAGUUGAAAAUAUGCUCAAAAAUGCUAGUUCUAGCUGCUAGAGUCGAUAAGAACGAAUUACAGAAAUUAACUAAUCCUAGAUACUGAAAAAGGUAGAAAGGAAAGAUCAAAUGAAAGGUAAAACAAGUAAAUCUCUGGGGAAUAUUUUUUUCUCUUUUUUUUUCUUUUUGUGGCCUUCUGUUUGGCUUCUUAUUCUUUUCUAAUUUUUUUUCUUUUUUUUAUCCCUAGAAACUCACGCAAAAGAUGUUAAGAUCGGAAAGCUGCACGUCGGUCUGUAGGAGAAUAGCAAAGGCUGUAGUAAGGAAAACUCAGAAAAAAUAUGAGAAAAUAUGGAUUAGAAGCGUAUCAAAACAAGCUUUCCAACAAGUGCAAGAUCACUCGAAACGGAGGUCGGACGGUGGAGAAAACUGAGAUAUACUGCGCUGCCCCGGUGCUGAAAAACGGGUGCAGAAACUUCGGAGCACGAAAAGUCCACCUUAGAGACCGAAUUUGAGGGUCAAGGAGCCAUUAAUUUUAGAGGAUGCGCCUCAUCGAGAGCUUUCCGAAAAGUCUUGGAACGUCCAAAUCUGACUUCGUAUGCAAAAGAUACGCCCGUUUUAGUGAACACGGGUCAAACCCACCCGAAACUCUAAUUCUACUUGAACUCGGGUCCGAAACUUACUGGAACUCUUCCUCUCUUUUUUUUCGUUUUUUUUCUUUCUUUCCUUUUUUUUCACAACUUUCCGAAUAACUUGAUCUCUAAACAAAAUUCGAUCUAUUAUGAAACACUUUCCAAAAGCACUCUUGAUUGGACUCGGACUCGAACUCGCGGCUGAAAACUAUAACUUGCCGACUCGAUGUAGGACUCGACGAGGGAUUUGGUGUAGGACUCAAAGAGGGACUCGGUGUAGGACUCGAAGAGGAACUCGGUGGAAGAUAUGGUGGCGGCGGAAGAUUAUGGCGGUGGUGUGGCAGGAAGUUUGGCGGCGGAAGUUUGAUGGAAAGCCUGCGUCACACGAAAUCAAAAGACAAAAACAAGUUCGAUCUAGUAGAAAAAAUCUGAAAAACGAUCCAAUCUAAUCCAGCAACUCGACACGAUUUAUGCAGCAAAGAUUCAACAAUGCAAAACUAAUGUGAAAAUUGUAAGGCUCAGAUUGGUUCUAGGACAAGGUAACUAAUCUAAUUUUCUUUGGCUUUUUCUUGAUGAUAGGUAAAAAACAGAUCUAAGCUAGGGAUAAAUUGAAAGAUCUCACCGAGCAACCUUAAGCUCUGAUACCACGUGAUAGCCUCGAGGGUGUCCCGAUCUUUCGAUGAGAUACCUAAUUAUCGAUUUGGUAGGAGGUGACGUUGACGAUCUGACUACAACCUAGGAGGCAGCGCCUUAGCGAUCGAUACACCAACUCCAGAAGGUUAUUGAUUCCGCGGGGCACGAUUAACCUGACCACGAAGGUCUUUGUUCCUGCAAACAAUCAAAGAACAAGUAAGAACAAGAUGAAAAACAAUCUGAAAUUGAGAAUAGGAGAUAUGAAGGUUCACGAAUCUGAAUAGUCAAUAUAGUUGGAGUCUUGAUGACGGUAAAACAGGUGGUCUAACCGACACACGCGAUUACACGAAAGUAGCAAAGGCUAAACUUUAUCUAAUCAAAACUCAAGGCUCCAUAAGGGGCUCAUGGGGUAUAAAUAGGAGGGGAACUAGGUGGUUUUCGGCCAGGCCCUUG
rnacentral:lncRNA from 1 species